rnacentral:rRNA from 1 species
AGAGUUUGAUCCUGGCUCAGGACGAACGCUGGCGGCGCGCCUAACACAUGCAAGUCGAACGAGCGAGAGAGAGCUUGCUUUCUCGAGCGAGUGGCGAACGGGUGAGUAACGCGUGAGGAACCUGCCUCAAAGAGGGGGACAACAGUUGGAAACGACUGCUAAUACCGCAUAAGCCCACGGGUCGGCAUCGACCAGAGGGAAAAGGAGCAAUCCGCUUUGAGAUGGCCUCGCGUCCGAUUAGCUAGUUGGUGAGGUAACGGCCCACCAAGGCGACGAUCGGUAGCCGGACUGAGAGGUUGAACGGCCACAUUGGGACUGAGACACGGCCCAGACUCCUACGGGAGGCAGCAGUGGGGAAUAUUGCACAAUGGGGGAAACCCUGAUGCAGCGACGCCGCGUGGAGGAAGAAGGUCUUCGGAUUGUAAACUCCUGUUGUUGAGGAAGAUAAUGACGGUACUCAACAAGGAAGUGACGGCUAACUACGUGCCAGCAGCCGCGGUAAAACGUAGGUCACAAGCGUUGUCCGGAAUUACUGGGUGUAAAGGGAGCGCAGGCGGGAAGACAAGUUGGAAGUGAAAUCCAUGGGCUCAACCCAUGAACUGCUUUCAAAACUGUUUUUCUUGAGUAGUGCAGAGGUAGGCGGAAUUCCCGGUGUAGCGGUGGAAUGCGUAGAUAUCGGGAGGAACACCAGUGGCGAAGGCGGCCUACUGGGCACCAACUGACGCUGAGGCUCGAAAGUGUGGGUAGCAAACAGGAUUAGAUACCCUGGUAGUCCACACCGUAAACGAUGAUUACUAGGUGUUGGAGGAUUGACCCCUUCAGUGCCGCAGUUAACACAAUAAGUAAUCCACCUGGGGAGUACGACCGCAAGGUUGAAACUCAAAGGAAUUGACGGGGGCCCGCACAAGCAGUGGACUAUGGGGUUUAAUUCGACGCAACGCGUAGAACCUUACCA